rnacentral:rRNA from 1 species
GACGUAGGGCGCAAGCGUUGUCCGGAUUUAUUGGGCGUAAAGAGCUCGUAGGCGGCUUGUUGCGUCGACCGUGAAAACCCGUGGCUCAACUGCGGGCUUGCGGUCGAUACGGGCGGGCUAGAGUUCGGUAGGGGAGACUGGAAUUCCUGGUGUAGCGGUGAAAUGCGCAGAUAUCAGGAGGAACACCGAUGGCGAAGGCAGGUCUCUGGGCCACUACUGACGCUGAGAAGCGAAAGCAUGGGGAGCGAACAGG